UACGAAGGGGCUAGCGUUGUUCGGAUUUACUGGGCGUAAAGCGCGCGUAGGCGGAUCGUUAAGGUCGGGGGUGAAAUCCUGGAGCUCAACCUCCAGAACUGCCUUCGAUACUGGCGAUCUCGAGUCCGGAAGAGGUGAGUGGAACUCCUAGUGUAGAGGUGGAAUUCGUAGAUAUUGAGGAAGAACACCAGGUGGCGAAGGCGGCUCUGGCCGGUACUGACGCUGAUGUGGCGAAGCGUAGGGAGCGAA
rnacentral:rRNA from 1 species